UCUAAAAUUUUCUCUCUAUAUUUUCAAUUCCCCACCUUAAUUAGCACUUAUUCAGUUGAGCCUUCAUUCGCAUAUUAGCACUCUCGAUCAUCUUCUUCUCCAAAUGAACUUCUCUAUCAGCUUUCUCUCACAACCUUAGCUCACUCUGACUCACCCUAUCCUCACCCGACAGACUAAACCCAACCCUAACCUCUGCUUCACACCCAACGACGACGGUGGCCCUCGAGAGGUUCCGUAAUAUGCGCCUCACUGUAUGUUGAUUUACUUUUCAUUAUGCACCAAACUAACUACUUCUUCUAGUAUUAAGAAUGAUUUCUUACUACUUUUUUUUAGGUGAAUUCUUUUUUCCACUGGAAUUUGUUUGCUAUAAAAAUGACCAGUCUAAAAUCCAUCGAAACCCCUUCGUUAUUAUGUCUAUUUGUGCAACUUAUUUGCUCUAAUUGGUUGCAUUAAUCAAGAACGCCUCCUCUCUUCUCGCCCUCACUCUCUGUCAUCUUCUCAUCUAUAUGGAAAAGUGGGUGCAGGGAACUUCAGAAGCUCAUUCUAUGGAAACCUAAUGUGUACUCAUCAAUUUGCAGCAGGAAAAAAUAUUCAGUUAUGGAAACUCUGUUGUGGUGGCCUCAGUGGUUAAAAAAUUCACCCUCUUAUAGUUGAAACAUCAUUGUAUUUUAUGAAUCUUGGGCGUGCUUUAGUUUGUUAAUUAUAAAAUAUUUUAAUCGGUUGUGCUAUGUAUUAUUUUGUAUACUUAUGGCCUAUUUUGGGAGAUAUAGUUAAUUUUUCAGAGCAACUUUUUUGGUGUUCAUUUCAUGUUUGGCAGCUUGGAAGGAAGAAGACCAACACCAGUGAGACUCAUUUGAACUCAGGUAGCGGGAUUAACCACUCUGGGUUAAAAAGGCGUCAGAAAGUUCUUUCAGUAGUAUUUCUGGUACGUUGUUAUAUUCUUUCUUUCUGCAACAUGUUUUUUCAGUGUUAGCAUAAAUAUUUUUUCUUGUAGUGCAAGCUGCAUGAUUGGUAUUUUUUCCUUUAAUUAGAUAUUGAGGAUUUUCACUGGGCUGUGAGGCCACUGGCAAUUGCUUUUGGUUUGUUUGCAGCCAUGAAAUUUAGCUUAUUUCUUGGAUGAGGUGUGAGCUUAAAACUGAGGAAGGAGCGGAAAAAGCCGACUAGAUCCAAUGAUAGUCAUCAGGAUGGCCAAUCUUCCAGCACUGCAGCUUGGCUUCUACCUCCAGUUGCAAAUAUUCUCUUCAAAGAAGGCGUUACUCUAGCUACGGCCAGGUAAUUACCAAAGAUUUCAACCAUUUGGCAUUGACUUCAAGGUAAUGUAUUUAGUUAUAUAUGUUGUAAUGCCAAAAGUAUAAGAAAAUGUUAGCGUGUAUAUAAUUAACUUUCACUGUUUAUAAUCGUACAUUUGCAAAUACGCAUUAUACAUAUGUAUAUGAUGUGUUACAAUUGCAAAGUUGAUUCACCUGGCAUUGUAUAUAUAAAAAAAGAACAUUUUCUUUUAGAUCAGCUGUUGUUUAUUACAUCAAAUUAGGUUUGGUUUUGGCUAGGCAAUUUGUUAAGUAAAAUUUUUACUUAACAAGUAUAAUAUUUAAGUAUUACCCUUUUAGUUAAAAAAAUUCUUCUAAUCAUUUUAAGUAUUUAAAAAAAAAUUCAAUUACUAGGGACUCAAAUAUUUUUAUGUCAUGAGUAAGUUCCCAUUUUGUCGGUUUUCAACUUUUCUUAGUUCAAAUGACAAGGAAUCUAUCACUAUUGAACCCAUAAAUUCUGGGAUUUUGAACGGAAGGAAUUGGUUUUCGAUUCCAUUACCGCACAGAACGAUUCAAAAUCCAUUUUACUUCUUGGGAUCCCCUGUUGUUAGGCAGGGUUAUUUGUGUCCCUAUUUUUCUAUUUUUGUCUAUGAUAUAUAUUAUUGAAAUUGUGUUACAAGAACUAUUAUUGCAGCUUAUAUUGCUUGUUAAUCUAACUACAAUGAGUUCAGAUUAUGAUUGCGAGUAGGCAUUUGAGAGUAAUAUUGACAUGGAAUGGAAAUUAAUCAAUUUUUUGGAUUUUAUGUUUCAAAAAAUUAGUUUCAAGGGGCUGGCCUUUUGAUUUACUGUUAAUUUCUAAAUUUCUUCAUGGUAUAGAUACAAUUGUUCCAGACAAUGACUUGAAAGUAGGUGAUGUUUGUGCCUUUGUUAUGACAAAGAACAUUGGAAUAAUCUUAUUCGAAGUGAUUAUUUUUCAUAACAAUGGAGUAGCAAACUCCCCUAUGGCUAUGCUAUCAAUUCCAGCUGCAAAUAAGAGAAGUUCAACUACACCAUCCAAGCCAAAGAUAACCCCUUGUGCGGAAAUUGAACCAUCUUUUACUAGUGAUUAUGAUAAAGCCAACAUGAUUUCAGAGGACCUAAUUGCACAGAAAAUAAUAGAUGAACCUUCAGUUAACUAGUCUGAUAAAGUGUGUGGAGAAUCUCUUGUACAUAAAAAAUUUAUAAGAAAUCAGGAGUUGAGUAGAAAAGGAAAGGCUGAAGCUUUCUAAAGAGCUAAAGAUUUUAAAUCUGAAGACCCCUUUUUUAUUGUUCCCAUGCAACCAUCAUUUGUUGGAUCCAAAUCUAAGUAUUGUAUUGGUAUGCCAUCUCCCUUUGCAAAAAAGUACCUUUUCGGGAUCAGUAGUACACCUCAACAUGUGAUCCUUACGGUUAAGAAUGUGAUUUUACUUCAAUGUAUAUGUUUAAUUUAUUGAUUUUUCAGGUGAGAUUUUAUAGUACUGUUAUAUUAUGUUUAACUUCUCUCACUGCUGUAGAUUCCUCUCUGUUGCAAGAUAAUGCAGAGUGGAACUUUCAUAAUAGCUAAAUUGUAGUGGCAACUAUGUAUUGCUGCUGAUUUUAAUAAUUUUCUUAUAAUUCUUUUACUGAUCAUGCCUACAGAUGCUCAGAGGAUACUUUAAGAGUUUGAGGGGUGUGUGCUUCUAGCUUCUGAGUUUGGAGCCAGAUUAGGAUAGAGGCUUCACAUUCUUUUUUAUGUUUGUUUGCCUAAUUUAGUGUUAGUUUUUUUUUUUGUUCAUUUAGUUGGGUUUGUAUUGGGGUAACUUUUUUUCUGUUUUUCAUGUUGACAACUCUGAUUCAUUGAGUUUGUUGUUGUAGUUCAUAGACAAUACAAUUCAAGCAAGGAUUAUGUAAUUGAAUUUUUUAUGAUUGCCAUUGUAAUUUUUAUGUAUUGAAUAAAUGUGUUCAAUAUUAUUUAAAUAUAGCUUUUUGAAUAAUUUUUUUUAUUAUAUAAUUUAAAUAAAUAUAUUUAAAAUUAAAAAAAUAAUAAUUAGUUUUUAUGACUAAAUAUUAGUCACUGAAUAAUUAAUUUAUGUAAUUUUUUAUUUAUUAUUGCCAACUAAAUUAUUUAGUCACAAAAUAUUAGCUUUUUCGUGACUAAAUUUUAGUUGUUAAAGUU